AUAGGGGAGCCGGAGGGAAACCGAGUCUUAAUUGGGCGUUAAGUUGCAGGGUAUAGACCCGAAACCCGGUGAUCUAGCCAUGGGCAGGUUGAAGGUUGGGUAACACUAACUGGAGGACCGAACCGACUAAUGUUGAAAAAUUAGCGGAUGACCUGUGGCUGGGGGUGAAAGGCCAAUCAAACCGGGAGAUAGCUGGUUCUCCCCGAAAGCUAUUUAGGUAGCGCCUCGUGAAUUCAUCUCCGGGGGUAGAGCACUGUUUCGGCUAGGGGGCCAUCCCGGCUUACCAACCCGAUGCAAACUGCGAAUACCGGAGAAUGUUAUCACGGGAGACACACGGCGGGUGCUAACGUCCGUCGUGAAGAGGGAAACAACCCAGACCGCCAGCUAAGGUCCCAAAGUCAUGGUUAAGUGGGAAACGAUGUGGGAAGGCCCAGACAGCCAGGAUGUUGGCUUAGAAGCAGCCAUCAUUUAAAGAAAGCGUAAUAGCUCACUGGUCGAGUCGGCCUGCGCGGAAGAUGUAACGGGGCUAAACCAUGCACCGAAGCUGCGGCAGCGAACGUAUCACCCAAGACAACUUUACGGAGUUGACGAUUGACGGAGCGAAGCGACGUCAAAGCGUUCAUUAAAGUCGAGUUGGCUUA
rnacentral:rRNA from 1 species